AGUGAACGCUGGCGGUAGGCCUAACACAUGCAAGUCGAACGGCAGCACAGAGGAGCUUGCUCCUUGGGUGGCGAGUGGCAGACGGGUGAGGAAUACAUCGGAAUCUACUCUGUCGUGGGGGAUAACGUAGGGAAACUUACGCUAAUACCGCAUACGACCUACGGGUGAAAGCAGGGGACCUUCGGGCCUUGCGCGAUUGAAUGAGCCGAUGUCGGAUUAGCUAGUUGGCGGGGUAAAGGCCCACCAAGGCGACGAUCCGUAGCUGGUCUGAGAGGAUGAUCAGCCACAAUGGAACUGAGACACGGUCCAGACUCCUACGGGAGGCAGCAGUGGGGAAUAUUGGACAAUGGGCGCAAGCCUGAUCCAGCCAUACCGCGUGGGUGAAGAAGGCCUUCGGGUUGUAAAGCCCUUUUGUUGGGAAAGAAAUCCAGCUGGCUAAUACCCGGUUGGGAUGACGGUACCCAAAGAAUAAGCACCGGCUAACUUCGUGCCAGCAGCCGCAGUAA
rnacentral:rRNA from 1 species